CAGAAGCAGGCCUAUGUUAUCAAAGUUUGCAGUAGCCAGCAGGAAUGUAUCUGGCUGAGGAUGGGUGAAAGUGGUGACUGAUGGGGCAGAGAAGGCCUCAUGGGUAUGCCUAGCUGACAGGGUGAGGAAGAUCUUCACCUGUUCCAUCAGUGCUGCUAUUACUAUCAAGUUGCUCUUCUAUGAUGCUGACAGGGUGAGGAAGAUCUUCACCUGUUCCAUCAGUGCUGCUAUUGCUAUCAAGUUGCUCUUCUAUGAUGCUGACUGGGUGAGACAGGAGAGGAUCUUCACCAGUUCAAGUCAGUGCUGCUAUUACUAUCAACAGUUGCUUUUCUGUGAUGAUACGGAUCCAUGACCUGGCUGAAAGGCUUGCUGCACAGCAGCUCAUCUGGUCCACACCAGUCUGCUGCAUCACCACAUCCCCUGGAAAGGUACUGGUGUGAUGUAAGCAGCCCUGCAUGCCCAUAUUUGUAUGGGAUCCAACUCCUGCCAUCACUGCACACCUGUAUUAUCUUCAUUUACAGGUAGUGAUGAGCAUGGAAGCUGAUGAUUAGAUUAAAAGAAGAGAUGGAAUGAAUGAAUUGUUAGGUAAAUAAAUGCAUAAAUAGGUGGAAAGAUUGUAAAGUUUGGUUUCUAAUAAAUGUUCCUUAUGAGUGAA
rnacentral:lncRNA from 1 species